rnacentral:ncRNA from 1 species
UAGUAGCACUUAUAGGAACUGUCUGGAGUGUCCACGAAAGUGGAAAUUAGUGCUUUAAAUAAAUCCUUGCACAAAGGUA